UACGUAGGGGGCAAGCGUUGUCCGGAAUCUAUUGGGCGUAAAGCGCGUGUAGGCGGCCCGAUAAAGUCCGCUGUGAAAGUCCAGGGCUCAACCCUGGAAUGCCGGUGGAUACUGUCGGGCUAGAGUCCGGAAGAGGCGAGUGGAAUUCCUAGUGUAGCGGUGAAAUGCGCAGAUAUUAGGAGGAACACCGGUGGCGAAGGCGCCACUCUGGGCCGAAACUGACGCUGAGG
rnacentral:rRNA from 1 species